rnacentral:rRNA from 1 species
ACGAACGCUGGCGGCGUGCCUAAUACAUGCAAGUAGAACGCUGAAGAGAGGAGCUUGCUCUUCUUGGAUGAGUUGCGAACGGGUGAGUAACGCGUAGGUAACCUGCCUUGUAGCGGGGGAUAACUAUUGGAAACGAUAGCUAAUACCGCAUAACAAUGGAUGACACAUGUCAUUUAUUUGAAAGGGGCAAUUGCUCCACUACAAGAUGGACCUGCGUUGUAUUAGCUAGUAGGUGAGGUAAUGGCUCACCUAGGCGACGAUACAUAGCCGACCUGAGAGGGUGAUCGGCCACACUGGGACUGAGACACGGCCCAGACUCCUACGGGAGGCAGCAGUAGGGAAUCUUCGGCAAUGGGGGCAACCCUGACCGAGCAACGCCGCGUGAGUGAAGAAGGUUUUCGGAUCGUAAAGCUCUGUUGUAAGUCAAGAACGGGUGUGAGAGUGGAAAGUUCACACUGUGACGGUAGCUUACCAGAAAGGGACGGCUAACUACGUGCCAGCAGCCGCGGUAAUACGUAGGUCCCGAGCGUUGUCCGGAUUUAUUGGGCGUAAAGCGAGCGCAGGCGGUUUGAUAAGUCUGAAGUUAAAGGCUGUGGCUCAACCAUAGUUCGCUUUGGAAACUGUCAAACUUGAGUGCAGAAGGGGAGAGUGGAAUUCCAUGUGUAGCGGUGAAAUGCGUAGAUAUAUGGAGGAACACCGGUGGCGAAAGCGGCUCUCUGGUCUGUAACUGACGCUGAGGCUCGAAAGCGUGGGGAGCGAACAGGAUUAGAUACCCUGGUAGUCCACGCCGUAAACGAUGAGUGCUAGGUGUUGGAUCCUUUCCGGGAUUCAGUGCCGCAGCUAACGCAUUAAGCACUCCGCCUGGGGAGUACGACCGCAAGGUUGAAACUCAAAGGAAUUGACGGGGGCCCGCACAAGCGGUGGAGCAUGUGGUUUAAUUCGAAGCAACGCGAAGAACCUUACCAGGUCUUGACAUCCCGAUGCUAUUUCUAGAGAUAAAAAGUUACUUCGGUACAUCGGUGACAGGUGGUGCAUGGUUGUCGUCAGCUCGUGUCGUGAGAUGUUGGGUUAAGUCCCGCAACGAGCGCAACCCCUAUUGUUAGUUGCCAUCAUUCAGUUGGGCACUCUAGCGAGACUGCCGGUAAUAAACCGGAGGAAGGUGGGGAUGACGUCAAAUCAUCAUGCCCCUUAUGACCUGGGCUACACACGUGCUACAAUGGUUGGUACAACGAGUUGCGAGUCGGUGACGGCGAGCUAAUCUCUUAAAGCCAAUCUCAGUUCGGAUUGUAGGCUGCAACUCGCCUACAUGAAGUCGGAAUCGCUAGUAAUCGCGGAUCAGCACGCCGCGGUGAAUACGUUCCCGGGCCUUGUACACACCGCCCGUCACACCACGAGAGUUUGUAACACCCGAAGUCGGUGAGGUAACCUUUUGGAGCCAGCCGCCUAAGGUGGGACAGAUGAUUGGGGUG